AUGGGGAACCUGUGACUAUUAAUAGAGUUAUUAACCAUAUAUCUACCUCUAUGAAGUCAUUAGUCAAAUUCAGAAAGCCAUCAAUACAAAGAGUCCCACACAGAUGGCCAGAUUUGUUAAAUAAAAUGGAGUCCUAUCUGCCCAAACUGAAGUAUACUAAGGUGAUGUGGGACUGUCCUAGCCCAGGUUGGAUCAAGGUGAAUACAGAUGGAGCGUCUAGGGGAAAUCCUGGUAGAAGUGAAAUUGGCUAUGUAUUAAGGAAUGAGGAGGGUGACCUAACAUAUGGCUAUGGGAGAGAAGUGCAGGAAGGGACAAAUUCUGAAGCUGAAGCACAAGCAAUCUUGGAAGCAAUGAGGUUCUGUAUUGAUAAUGACUACAUACUUAUAGAACUUCAUACUGACUCCAUGAUGUUGAAGAAUGUACUAAAUAGAGAAUGAAAAAUACCUUGGAGUAUAUAUACACAGGUGGAGGAGAUAAGACAACUGAUGGCAAAAGCUAAUGUCACUGUGGUGCACACAUUUAGAGAGGGGAAUUGUUUGGCUGAUCACUUAGCCAAUUAUGCACUGGAUAUGGGACCUAUGGUGGCACAUAGUUUCUGGGAAUUGGACAUACAAGGUAGAAGGAUAGUGAAUAAUGAUAAAGUACAAUGUCCAUAUUUAAGAGUAAAAGUAGCAAGGAAUUAGAAGGUGAGGAGGUUACAAGGUGGAAUUGCAGUGUGCUAAGGAUAGGUUGACAUCCAGAUAUGAAGCAGGAUGUUAGUAUGAUGGAAUGCUCAAUUGUUAAAGAACUGAGACUGAUGGAAAUAUUCCAGGAAGGAACAGCAACAGUGAGCAGGCAGUAUAAUUUGAUGCAGAUGGGAAUAAAGCGGAAGAAACAAGAGAGCAUGGGUGGUUUUGACCAAAGCCGUAUGGAGGAGAUCAAAACAAUCAGUUUUUACACUAAUUUUUUUGCCUUUUUUGCAGGAAAACAGUCAGGAUUAAUGAUAUAUCAAGAAUUUAAAUUUCAAAGGGUGGUAUUAGUAUUUUAUACUCAUUCCCUUGAAGGAGAAAUCAUGAUAUGUAUUAGUAGACAACCUUGCAACAGAAUUACAGUGCUAGCCAGUUCAAUUAAUGAAGAAAAGAAAGUGUUUGGAGGUCUACAAACUCUUUAUGAAUUCAAGGGAUCACAUUGUCUUGAAGAAGAAAUGGUGGCUUGCAACAGCAUUGCAGCAGACUGCUGGACAAUAAUGUCUAUGCAUGCGAAAAUCUGGUGUUGGCAUCAAAACAUUCAUUUCUAGAGAUCGCCACCAACAAUGCAGUUAUGCGAAAAUCUGGUUUUGGACAUACUAAUUUACAUACACAAAAUUGUAACAGGGGAAGUAUUCUGCAGGGCAUGGCACUCUUCAAACUUUGGCAUCAAUAUAAUGAGGUACUGGGCAGUUGAAAUGCUGGACAGUGGGAUGGAUAGAGCUUAUUUCUUAUCGAGCAAAACAUACAAGAAUGGGCGUGACAAAGAAGAAACAGUGCUCAAUGUAACUGCUAUGCAACUAAUCAUUCUGCACAGAAGGAUAUCGAGGAAAGAUAAGAUUUUGAAAGGAAAUAUGUACUGGUGCAUACACAUGGAUCAAUAUGAAGUAGUAGCGGAUAGAUUUAAUUGAAAGUAUAUUGGCAAUUACACCGCAGAGGCAGUACCAACAAUACAUAAAUUCAUGGGUUAUCAUAAACUAUUUACUAUAAUUAGUUUUCAUAUUGUGAUAUCAUUGUUGAGCUAUCAACUCAACUUUGAUAAUAGGUCAUAUGUAAUUCUCAAAUUUUAUGCCUUUCAUUUCAUUAAACAUCCGGACAAACUAAUUGUAUUGGUUUUAUUGUUUUACUUAUAUAUAAAAAAACAGUCCUAGGCGCUCAGUCUAGUGGAUUUACCAAAAAAAAGACUUAGGGACUAAUUGGCAAAAUACACAAAAUGUAAACCUAGACUCUAGACCUAUAAGACCCUGGAGCUAAAAAAUACACAAAAAAAGAACACCUGGGGAAAGGCUGACAAGCAGCGCCGCAAUAGAGGAUCCCAUACGACCCCCUAUAUUCUCGUCUUCUUCAUCCCCUUCCCAAGUCAAUCUUCAUCUUCACGAAAGAACCUACAAAAUACUCCAACUCCAAAGACUCAAAGCAGCAGCGGCGACGACCCCACCUCACUGGUCUUCUUCUUCGUCCCCACAUCCACCAACGACCACUCUCACGUCGGCCUGAACCAAACAGCCAUCUCCACCUUUCUCCUUCAACCAUAACACACCCAAAGCUCCAAUAACGAACCCACAUCUCUCCGAACCCCUAUCUCUGACCAUACUAGCAACUAGCUGCAAAAGGAAAGAAGAAAAGGAGUUCGAAAAAACAGUAAUGAAAACAGGGGAGCAAGCAGAAACGUCUGAAGUUGUGUUGAGUGGAGGUUUCCGGUGCCGGUUCGAGUUCCAUCCAGAGGUCAUCGGUUGUUGUUCGAGAUUUGAGUUUUCCAGCAGAAUUUGAGGGUGUCGUCGUUAGGUUUGUCGAUUUCACAUUUCUAUUUCAAAUCUGCUUCUUGUAGCUUUUACAGUUUUUUGAUUCUCUUUCGAAUAUUGCUCUGUAGUUUUUUUGGAAUUGUUCUUUUUUGUGAAUAUUCUUGUUUGGAUGAACAUGUGAAAUGUCCUCUAAUAUUCUGACUCCCUAUGUGCCCUCGCAGAACAGGACGCUCAUUUAGUUAUAAUCAAUAUUAUUUAGCGUAAUGAGAGUCUACUUAUUUGAAAAAUGCUAUUAUACAUUACCAUUUUGAAAUGCUAGUUUGUUUACAUUCUUAUUUUAAUUUUACAUUGUCCUUGUUUGGAAAUUGGAAAUAGAAGAUACUGGAAACUAAUUUGAACAAAUGAUCCAAAUGUUAGUCGAAAAGGGCGUAAGAGGAAAGUUGGUCUUAGUAAUUGUUCUUCCAAUUCGACUAUGUUGCAGUUGGAUAAUGCUAAGUUCUUGACUUAUCUUCCGGAAUUGUUUGAGCAGAUUUUUUUCUGCUGGUAUUUCUGCGUGUAGGUUUAACUGUCUUGUUAAAGAUGAAAAUGUUCCAUUAAGGGGGUUAUGAUUCUAACUGGUUGUAACGCGUUUGAAAAUGUUAGAAUGCUUUAGUCUUGCUCUUAGCUAAUCAAUUCACCGUGAUUGUGUACAUGUUCACAUGACAUAAUUACGAUCCUUUAAGGAUAAAUUGAGAUGUGCCAUGACAAAUAAAAUCUCAAACUCAUGGCCCUCACUUAAUUAUUUUUAAUCCUUUAGAAAUCGAGGUGUGACAUUAGCGAAGUUUUCAUGGCCCUUGCAAACUUGAAGUGCAUAGGUGCUUUAGGCGCGUGAUUUAAAUUAAUUUCCUAAACUCGGGUGCGCAUUUAUGUGAUCCAAAUCCAAAUCUCAACGUUAGAUAAAAUGUGUUGCAGACUGCGGGUGCAUUUAUGUGACGUGGUUGGAGACAUAUUUUAAAUGACGUUGCAAUCUUCCUUUAAAAAUGAAUAGAAGUGGUUAAAAAGUUAAAAUUGCACAUAGGAUUAAACAUGUUUAAAAUCAGAUAAUUAGGCCAAUAAUAACAAUUGAGCGACCGUGCUAGAACCACGGAAUUCGGGAAUGCCUAACACCUUCUCCAGGGUUAACAGAAUUCCUUACCUGGAUUUCUGAUUCGCGGACUGUAAUAUAGAGUCAACCUUUUCCUCGACUCGGGAUUUGAACAAGUGACUUGGGAUACCAUAAAUUAUCCCAAGUGGCGACUCUGAAUCAUUAAUUAAAUAAAUCUCGUUUCGAUUGUCACUUUAAGUUGGAAAAAACUCCCUUUAUACCCCUUCGGGGGUAUAAGUAAAAUGGAGGUGUGACACUCCCAGCCUGGGCCCUCGUACUUCUACAGGGAAGAAAUAAAGAGUUACGUAGAUGCGCAGAAGAGUCAGAAAGAGUCUCAUGAGAAGAUAGCAGCAUCAGUGACUAGACUUGAGACAGCCUACGGCAACUUGGCCAAGGCGCAUGCAAAUCUCCAAUCAGACUUCAAGAAGGAGAAGGAGAGGAACAAUAAGAAGAGCAAGUUUAUGAUAAAAAUGUGGAGAGGAAUAAAGUUCAUCUUCAAAUGGGGAAACCCAAGAAAGAAAAUACCAGUGGGGGACAAAAAUGAUAGCGAGGAGUAUUCCUUCAUGUCAGAAGCUGUUGGUGAUGAUGAUGAUGAUGAGGCUACGAGUUCAGCACAACAUUGAUAAGCCGUCCUCCCACAGUCUGUUAGUCUGAUGCAGACCUCAGGGAGACCCUCAAACUAUUUAUGCUUUAUAUUUGAUAUUGUGCAGUGAGGACACUACAAUGUUUUUAGUUGGGGUGGCUGUAAGAGUAUACUGUAUUCAUGUUAUGAUAUUGUGUGCCCUUGCCGGGCUUAUUUUGUUGAUAUGGAUAUUGUGUACCCUUGGCGGGCUUAUUGUGUUGUUAUGGAUAUUGUGUGCCCUUGUCGGGCCAUUUUGUGUAGCAGGUGCUCUUGCUGAGCUUGUUGUGAUUAGUCUAUUUUUAGCUUUCUUUCGUUAUUUAUUUUCUUUAGUAGCUUGUUGUUAUUUGUAUUAGGCCCUUUUAUUUUAGUAUCCUUUUUAGUAGUUUUGUUCUUUGAGUUUUUUUAUUAUUUUCUUGGGUUUUCUUCAUGCUACGGUUCUUUCCCAAGGAAUAUUUUUUUGAAGUGAACCGGGUGACUUUUUCCUAUGAUAGAUGGCGUGACAACGUUAUUAAGGGAAUUAGUCUUGUUUUGAUAGGAGGAGACUUUUGGAUUAUUUGGUACUAAUAAAAUUAGUCUCUUGUAUGUGAAAUGUGAAUUAAGAAUACCCCUCCGAAUUUUGGUUUUGAACUAAAACAAGUAAGUUGCAUGGUGAAGAAAUUUUUGUGAUAAAUUUUUGGCUCUUUUAGUGACUCUUUGCCCACUAGUUUGAAUAAUAUUGCUCUAGAUGCUCUUAUUAGAAAAUUAAAUUGAUCCAUCUUGAUUAAUUCAUGUGCCAUGUGUGUUAGUGUUUGUACAAAUAAAUCUUGUGUUUACUUCUAUCAUCUAGAAUUUGCCCGGUUGGUCUUUCAACGCUAAUGAUAGUAUGUUCGGUUGGAAGGAUGAUCUUAGGCAUUCUUUGUGUUAUUUGCAAAACCACUUUAGCCUUUCAAGCCUACCAUUGCAUAAAUAAUAUCACUUGUACCCUAUUUGAGCCUUUAACCUUUUCUUUGGCCACCUCAUUACAAACCUUUCUCCUUUUGUAAAAUAAUUCCCUAUUUUGAACCCGUCCCUCCUUGAACAUUGAGAAUGAGGCUAAAAGCCUAAGUUGGGGGUGUGGUGUCAAAGUGAAAAUUGGUAAGGUUGUACAUUGAGUGUAGGAGCAUAUACCUCAAAGUGUUCACAUUAAAUUAUUCAAGCUCCAAAAGAAAAAUAUGUAUAUAAAAAAAGAGAAAUAUAUGUAUGUAUAUAAAUAUGGAGCCUUGAAGAAAAUUAGAGAGGUAUUUAAGGUGGUUCUAUGUUGGUACUAGAUGCCAAUGAGGCUAUGUGGUUUGAAAAGAAACAAAGUGCAAAAAGAAAGACAAAUGUGAGUAGUGUUCAAGGAGGGUAAAGUCACUUGUAUCCAAAUGCUUAUCCGACCCUUCCCUAAACCUACAUUACAAGCUUAUGAAGUCCUUAUGGGAUCUCCAACCGAAUGUUCUUGAAUAUGCGAUGAAUUAAAAUAAGGGCAAGCUUAUGGUAUGAGAUGUUGUAACACUUGAAAUCUUUGUGAGAGUGAGUAUCUUUGUAAAUUGGUCCCUUAUGUUGUAUUGUAAAUAUAGUGAUUUUGGGACUUUCUUUCUUGUGAGGGCACAUGAAUUAGGAAGCAUUGGUGAAAUUGAGUAAGUUGAGCAUAUGUAGUGGUCUAGUGCUUUUGAGUCACUUUUUGAGGCUUACUCAUGUCACUUGAUUAUUUUGAAACUCCCUUGCACAUUCUUGAAGUUGUUUUUAAAUGAGGGAGUUAUUCGGGUAAGAUGCACAUACUUGAGCCUAAUUGUUAGUACCAACCAAAUCCAUAAGUAUGGUGCUUAAUUGGAGAAUGUGAUUUGUAAAAAAAAAUAGCAAUACUACUUGUGUUUUAAAUGGUAAAGCCUCAUUGAAGUGUUGGUUUUGAUAUGCUUGAGGACAAGCAAAAGCUUUAAGUUGGGGGUGUUGAUAAGUGGUGAUUUUACCACUCAUUCUAGUCUCUUUUCUUUAGCUUUUAUGUCCUUUAACUAUAAUAUGAGGUCUUUUAUGGUGUGUAUUAUUAGAUUUUUAGGUAAAUGAUGCCAUAAAGUGAUUUGAAUUUAAUUGGAGUAGAAUUGAGCAAAAAAGGGUGAAAACCAUGUAAAACUCCCCUGUGAUUCCACAUCUGCGUAAGGUUGGUCGCAGAAGCAACUCCGUUUCUGUGUGAGAAGUCCCACAUCUGCGAAAAUGGGUGACCUUGUAAGAUACCGCAUCUACGGUUGGAUUACCGCUUUUGCGGUUGCGCAUCUGUGCUAGGAAGACCGCAUCUGCGAUGGAAAAGAUUAUUUGACAUUUCGCUUCUGCGAUAGGCUCUCCACAUCUGCGGAACCGCACUAGCGAGUAUUCUUCCAUAGGUGCGGUCAACGGGCAUCAGACCUGGGCAAAUUAGGAAUUUCACAUGUUCUCAUUUCCAAACCCACAAAUACUCGACCUAGCUAAUUCUUUGGGAGAUCUUUUGGCUUAUUUUUAGUUCUUAGAACUAGAGAGAACAAGUUUUGGAAGCUAGGGUUUGCACACAUACUUUGGUCUUGAAGAUUUGAAGCUUGUGGUUAAGGAUUUCUUACCCAUUUAUGUUUAUUUCUUCAUUUCCUUGUUUUGUAUUGUAUAUCUAAGUAUGUAGUAUUUUAUCCAACACUUAAAUCUUGUUUAUUGAAAUAUUCUUGUUGAAAGUGUGGAUUAAAUACCUUGUUGUGCUUAUGUAUUGAAUGAUUUUUAUCUUUUUAUGAAGUGAAUUAUUGUUUCUUUAAUUAUUCUUGUUCUUUAAUGUUUCCAAAGGGAUUAGCUAACCCUAGGACUCGCCCAUUAACCCUGAAUUAAUUUUGGAAAAGAUAAUUUGGGGUUGGAAAAGAUUUAUUAAAAAGAACUUGAGGCGUUAACCCUCAUUUUAUAGAUUCUACCUAGGGAUAGGAUUGAACUACUUGUAGUCAUUCCGGGUGUGGUAAUCUCUUGAUUAUUUUAGGGAUAAUUCAAUUAGGAAGUCUUGUUAGUCUUCCAAAGAACCUAAUUAAGAAUUAUUAUCCCUGCCUAAUUAACAUAAACUUGCUCAUAUUUGUAAAAUCAUGAAAUACAUUGGAUCGUUACUUGAGUGUAAUUCCCGAUGCAACCAUACUUGCAGCCAUUGAUCAUUUUACUCGCUUUCUAGGUUAGUUUACAUUUCCGCAUCUAGAUAAAACAUUUUCUAAACCAACAUCUAAGUGUUUGGCAUUGUGCGAUAAGUGAUAAUUCUCUUACAUUCCUAAUCGCCAACAUAUUGUUUUCUGUGGGAUUCGACCCCGACUCAUAGUUGGUAAAUUAUAUUGCAUGCGACCGUGUCCAUUUACUUUUUAGUAGUGGAUUUGGACGUCAUCAAUACCGCACCUAGACCGAUUCCAGCGGAUGCGGUUUUGCAAGAUGUACAGCGGGUCGACAAAACCUCACGCACCAACGGAAGCAUACAACAUGGAGACCAAUAGGAAGCCCAAAAGACCCCCGCCCGAGAAAAACAAGAAGUUAGUCUUCAUAUUAUUUUUGAAAUGUUGCAGGCACAACAGUUGGCCAUCGCUCGGCUACAAAGCCAUCCGAAGACUCCUAGAACAACAGCGCCGGAAAUAGAUCCCCCCGCCAAGCAAGUACCCGAGAGAUCAAGCAAUAACGGAUCGGUAGCUGACCUUGUAUAGCAAAGAUGCUUGGGGAUCUAUCCAAAAGGAUCGAAUCAGGUUCAUGGAAGUUCGUGCAACGGCUGUUCCCCGAGGAAGCGGCCCCGGAACCUAUUUUUAAAAAGUCCAGAAUGCUAGAACUCCCUAAGUACAAUGGGACCUCAGAUCUCAACGAACACAUCACCGCCUAUACGUGCGCGGGAAAAGGCAAUGAUCCAAAAGAUGAUGAGAUCGAGCCCGUCUUAUUGAAGAGGUUUGGGGAAACACUCUCGAAAGGAACCAUGAUGUGGCGUUAUAACCUAGCUCCUGACCCCAUAAACCCGCUUACCAUACCGGCAGGUUUCUCCAUAAAGACACACACUGAUGCCAUCGAAGCAACGAUGAGAGAGCCCGACACAUCCAGGGCUGAACAAAGGGAGAAUGAAACGCCAGGGGAAUUCGCACCUCAUUCCCUAAUGGAACGAAUGAGAUUACCCCCGGUCUCAGAUGACUGGGCAAUACAGGCCUUCACUCAAAGCCUAAACAAACCAAGCCCGAUGAUUUCUGGGCAGUUCAAACAAAACUUGAUCAGGUACCCAGCCGAGACCUGGUCGGAUGCCCGUACCUAGCAUCAGUCGCAAAUCAGGGUCAUGGAUGACCAUCCAGGAGACUCCUCGGGCUCAGCUUACCCAAACAGGCUCCUGGCAAAGAAACCAAUGCCAAACAAAGGGAGGUACCGCCCGUGCGCUGCAAAUAAGAGGAACGCCCCGAGAUGCAAUCUACCUCGCAACGAUUGGAGAAUAGCUCGAGGAAAAUAUCCUCAAGGAAUCAUUAACAAAGCUAGAUUCGACAAGGAUGCAUGGCCGGCAAGGGCACCUCACCCAUCAGAGUACAAUUUCCACAUCGCUAUACCAAACAUUGUGUUCGCCGUAGGCGAAACCAGGGACAUCAAAUGGCUCGGACCAAUUCGGUCAAAUUCCACUCAAAGGAAUCACAGCCUGGCGCAGGAACUACAUAGCAAGUGCGGCCGCAGGGCUGAAGAUAGCCACCAGCUCUGAAGGAAAAACGCCAAGCCGCUCGACAAAAAUCACCGCCGAGAACUGACAAGCGACCGAAUUCAAGUUCAGUCCCCAGUAUGGAAGGCGGCCAGGAGGAAUGAAGCAAAUGGGCCGCAGCGCAUUACCAUGAUAAUGGAGGAGCGACGACCCUUUCCAAGAACUUGUAAAAGGGAGAGCAAAUUUCUCGUCACCGGAGAAAGGCGGACCUGGGGAUAUACCCCCAAGGACACCCUUACAUUCAGCAAAGAGGGUACCGAGACCUCGUCUCGACCUCAUAAUGACGCACUGGUAACCUUCUUCCUCACUCGAUCCAUUUUAAAUAAAACAUGUGCACAUGAGUGUAGGUGGCUCUAUUAGCACUGUCAGGCCAAGGAUGAUGGGGCGGCUCGGACUACCGGGUCAAAACACAACCACCUCUUGAAUCUUUGACAGAUUCCAAAUGGUGAUCGCUAGGACAAGGAUAAAGACCAUUCUCUUAGUACAGCAUGACUGGCCCAGACCAGAACGCCGAGUUCCAUUUGAUCAAAGGAGGCGUAAGGCAUGGAUGCCUUAUUCAGACAACCACGGGUGCAUCGCCCGAAGACAGGGCCGCUCCCACUUCGCCAAAAGGAUGAAAUUCCACGCAAGGGACGGAAUUAAAACCAUCAGCAGGAAGCAAUGCACGACAAGGGGAAAUUCCGCAUCACGUGACACAUCACCGGCACCAAUAUCUCCACUCUCGAAAGAGUCAAAGGGUAAGCAAACCACAUCUUCGGCCAAGCCUGAUUAAACACAACAGAGGGCUGUACUAAAGUCCACACCCCAAAACAGCAGGAACGUACCAAACCUUGGAACAUCGCCUACACAUCCCGCGGUAAAGAAAAACUAUCUCCCUCCUUCGUUGUUCUUCACUAACCUGUAUGCAGACACCCAGCCAGGGCGUUCGAAAGUUCUAACUCUACCCGGAGACCCCAAUGCCUUAACAGAACCCGUCGCGCUCUUUCCCAUCGGUCGGACUUCCGCCCCGAAGAGGGUCUCGCCAGCAAGGUUCUUAGUGGAGCAACAUACCCCCUAAGGAGGAUCGGAUAAGAUCACAGGCCUUCUUCUGCAAUCAAACGAUGAAGGACACCCCCCUCCCCUUUGAACGCGCCAUCCGCUCGGAAGGGUCGGGGAAUGGAAGACUAAGUUUCAAUAGGGAAUCAUGUACCAAACCAAACGGUCUAAGAAGCCGUGCCUGCGCGGGCUGAGCUCACAACAAUGAAACGAUAUGUAUUUACGCCAAGCAACAAAAGAAUGUCUUUCAGCAUCUCAUACUCCAAAAAAGGAAAUUUUAGCAUACUCUCGGCAGGGAUCCCUCCACCAAAUGCGUCCCAAAAUACUCGAAGACUUAGCGUCAAUAAUUUGGCACCCGCACGACCCCAGGAUCACUCAUAAAGCCCCAACAAGGUAACUCCGAGCUCACGAAUAACGGCCUUCGAGACUAAGCAAACUCGAUGACUCGGAGACUGUCGCCAAUCGUCGUACACUAGAAAACCCGAGGCCGUAAGACCCCGUGCGGGCAGACUCGGUAUAACUAGAUCUAUUCUAUAUAGCAACAAAAAUAGUAAGACCUCAACAGGCAUGACAAACUAUAAUACCUCAACAGGCAUGACAAACUAUAAGACCUCAACAGGCAUGAAAAUUUUGUAAGACCUGACUACAGGCAUAAAACUCAAUCCCAAAGUUUAGGCCAUACAUCGCAUUUGUAAGAAUCCCAAAAGGGCAUACCCUCGGUGUAGACACCUAAACUAUCACUCAGGAUAAAACAUGGCUCCGACCAAACACAUAUGACUAUGGUAAAAACGGUUGCACUAGCCAAAUUAACGCGACUCGGGGACGCCCGAAUGUCGCUAACAAAAUCGUAGGCCAUUACUUCGAAUAUACUUCGAAAAGAAAUGGUUAAAACAGGCUUCCCUCGAAAGGCAAACGAGCUUCGACCAUGCCAGCUCCAAAUCACAAGGCUUCGAGCUACUCAGCCUAAGAGCUAAAAACCUUCCGAGGUGCUCGAACGUUGCCGCUAACGACUUCAAAUAGAGGUUCUUCCCUAACCAACGACGGCUCAGGCAAAAUCAUUUCAAAAAGACCUUAACGAGAGGAAAACAAAGCCUAUAAAAUGCCCAUGGGAAAAAGCAUAAGAGCCAUUAUUGCCAGCCAAACAAGCCUCCAGGCCGCACACUAAAAGGUCUCAACGACCAAAAAACGUAAAAACCAUUAUCGCCAGCUUGAAAAUUGAAAACUUGUGGAUUAAAAUGAGCUCGAGUGGUAACCCAAUUCGGAGACCGGAUCCGAAAUGGUUAACUACACAUGCCUAAGGGCACAGUGUAAGUGCCAUUGUCGCCAACCAAACAAGCCUCCCAGCCACACACUUAAAAGGUCGCUUCGACCCGAAGCGCAAGAGCCAUUGUCAUCCGUCCAUGCAGGCACGAAAAACCUUGAGGGUCAAUUAAAGCUCGAGUCACAACGCGACUCGGAGACUGAACCCAAAAUUGUUGAAACACAAAUGCCCAAGGGCAAGGAAUAAGAACAAUCAUCAUCUGCCCAUGCAUGCACGGGAGAUUGGAGGUCAGGUAAGCUCGAGUCAAAGCCUGACUCGGAGACUAGGCCUAAACAGCUGGGCAAAGAACAAAGGCCCUAACGCCUACUCACGUUAAAAUUCGCACUUAAGAGCCUCCGGGUCUAUUUAGUGAGCUCCGGAUCCACAGGGCUCCUGCCAGACACCGAAACCAGCCCGCCUGGUCAAAAGCAAUGCAGAAAGAGAUACACAAAAGAUAAAGCUUCAAGUUUUCUCUUAUUUACAUACACAAAAGGUGCACUCUCCAUCUACAAACAUGCUCUACAAAAUUCAAAUACAAAAUGGCAAAAUAUACGCUUACGCUCCAGAAGGCUACAGUCUACCAGCCCCAAAUUCGCUCUUCAUGACAUCAACGAGAAGUGACCGAGCAUCGCGUUCGUCCACCCUUGCUCGAGCCAACUCCUUUGAGAGAACGAAGCCCCUAGCACCGAUCUCUUCGAGUACCUCCCUUCGGGAUCUGCAAUGAACAUAUUCCUCAAUCCUAUUCUCACGAUCGAGGGCCCGCUUCAACUCGGCUUGAGCAUCAGUAGUGUCCUUCAUAUGAAUCGCCAUCUUCUGAUCAGCCUUGGUCCGACUUAAUGCUGCUUCAGCCCGGGCAUCGAUUAUCUCAGCCCUGACCUUCGAGAGAUCGGACUCGAGCUUCGUGAUCAUAUCCGCUUGAAUUGUAGCAUUGUCACAAGCCAAGCAGAGUUGGGCCUCGAAGGCGGGAACCUUGUCCAAGGCGCCCCUUUCCUCUAAAUCUUGAGCCUGCACCUGAGCCCUCAGUUCACCGCAAGCAUUCCUGACUCGAUCGGCUUCUCCCUUAAGGUACUACAAAGCCUCCGUCUAUUUCUACAGCUAAGAUAGGCAAAGGGAUUAACCUUAAAGGUUAUAAAGAGUGAAAUGCAUACUACGAAAGGUUACCUGCUCCAUCAAAUAGCUCUCGUAAUUCGAGCUCCGAUAUGCCUCAUAUCGCCAGUGCAUCAACUCAACCUCCUUCUCCUCGCUAAGGAGCCUAAGGGACUCACCCUCAUCCAGAGCAUUCCAAAGCCUAGACCCAUGACGGAGCAGCUCAGACCUGAGCCUAUCAAAGGCCUGUAAAAGUGAAACUCGAUAAAGAAAUAAAGAUGCAAAAUAUAGAAGGACUGCGCCGAAACUCACCAUGAAGUGAAGCCGGCAGACUUCCUAGAAGGCAGAGCACACUCCUGUUGGUCCUGCCCCUUCGGCCCUGGAAGAACUAACCUCGGGCAAAGCAUAUUCACUCGGAGGAACCACCGUUCUGGAAUCGAACACUCUGGGAAAUGCAGGCUCGGGCGACAUCCUCUCCUCAAAGACACGGGCCCGUUGAGCCCCAUUAAAAGCUCCACCAUAUUGCGGUGCAAAUCCUGUUUAUUGCUACAUCCCUCAGCUUGGAGGCGAUGACUCAUUCCCAUCCCCAGAAGAGCACAGCCUCGCCCCAAGGAACCUCCCAACACCUACAACGACAAAGACGGUAUAAAAGAAAGAGGAAAAUGUCAUCUCAAAUAUAUGAAGACCAAGGUAGGAGUAGCGUACGUGCAUACCCUGGUAUUUUGCUUCCCAUCUGUCACGGGACACAGCUCGCCACCUACGCUCAUCGCAAGCCAAAUGGGUCGCCAACUUCCGGACCCAACCGGGCAGAUCGAGAACUUCCCCCGGCGUCCAUGAAGUUGCUGCAAAAAGGGAGGAGACACAAUUACCCUACUGGUUUUCACUAUAAGCAAAUCUAAGGAAGCACAAGACACUCCACUCACGCGCGUAAUUCCAUCCCUCGAGAAAUGGCAUGAACUCCACGGGGAUAAUGUCAGUCGUCCGGACCCAGACAAAUCGACUGACCCACUCUUGAUCCCCAUCUUCUUCAUCAUCGACAAAAGGCAUGGAUGAACGGCACCGCAAGGUUAACAUGCCUCGAUGAUGAAAGGGCCGGUACAGCCUGAUGAGGUGGUUGAGCAUGAAUUCAAGCCCAGCCUUCUCCGCAAAGAACUUCAUCAUCAGUACCACUCACCAGAACGACGGAUAUAUCUGAGCCAAAGUAACCUGAUACUUCAAGCAGAAAUCAAGCACGGCCCUAUCAAAGGGGCCAAAUGUGAAAGGGUAUAGGUAUACGUUCAAGAAUCCAUCAGCAGAGUCCGUAAUACUCUUAUCCGGGGAAAGCACCUGCAGCGUUAUCCCCUCGCUCCAUUCGCAGUAUCUCCUCACCAUCUCUAGAUGUUCCUCUCUUAUCAAAGACACAGUAUUUAGAGUGAACUCCCACGGAUCCUGAACACUGGGAGUGGAACUCUCCCCUCCCUGUCGGGCCAGCCCCGAAGUAGCUGCCAUGGCUAAAGUAGAAUUGACACACUAAAGCAAGGACGUGUGCCAAUACUCUUUGUGCCUGAAGAGAUGAAGGACCUGAUGCCAAGGCGAAGGGAUAGCUAUCCAAAAUAAUGAGAUCUUCCAAAGAAGCAAAAGCCACCCCACAUAUAUGUGGGAAACAACAAUGAUUCACCUAUAUAGAGUAAGCCCCAGGAGGCCAAUGGCCUCGGUACAGAUCCCGAGGUGGUACCCGACCCCAGAGGAAUCCAUCAACAAGAAGUUAGGACUCAAAGAGUCAACUGUAUCAUCUCCAUCCUCGAGGUAGUGCCCGACCUCGAGGAUCUUCGCCAAAAAAGAAGUCAGGCUUCGGGAAGCCUUCAACGCCAUCAUAGAACUCAAGGCGGUACCCGAUCUCAUGGUUUCCUUUUCUAAAAAGAAAAAUAAGCACGUGAAUCUCCAAUCAUGAAGGCUCUAGGAAGGCUCGAGGCAUCGCCUAAUUAUAGGCAACCCUCAACGGAAGUCUAUCCACUACGCUUUAAGAGGCUAUCUGCAUCAAGUUCAAAGCAGACCCCUAGGUACCCGAAGCUGACCUUCACUCAAGAUACCACUCUCGAAAGCUCCAAAACUCAGCAUACUAUCUCCAUACAACUCGAAGGGCCUGACAGCCCGAGUCUAUCAGAUCAAUUCAGGCUUGGUCUGAGGUACGAUGAUGGACUCGGAAAAGAGCCAUGUCAAUCGGCAGAGGAUCGGAAAGAACGCUCGCAUCCAAGUUAGAUGUCAGAGGUCAACAAUAGAGAAAACAUUCAAAGGCCUUGAAGUGCACGAGAACAUACAGUAAUAGGGUAAAAGUCGAAAACAGAAAUCAAGGAAAUAUCUUUGUAUUCAUAAAUAUCCAUGUACAAUAGCCCUCGAAGGGUCCUUACAUACAAUUACAAAAGCCUACAGAGGAUCUCUACAUAAAAAUGGACGAACGGAAGGAUGUACAUGUGAUAAAACCCGAGAGCCCGGUCCAUUCUCAAAGUUCUAUCUCCAGUAUCAGCAUCCUUGAGCGCCACCCCCUCGAGCUCACAUCCUCGAGGACGAUUCCUUCGACCGUCAUCUCCUCUAGUUCCCAGCUCAAUCCCGCGGAAGGUCACCGCUGAGGGAAAAGAUAAAGAAGAGGAAAAGGAGGGGAUGUAGAGAAGGCAGAGAAAAGAGACAUGGCCUGCCAAAGCCAAAGGUUGAAGAUUCAGCGGGCCCCAGCCUCAACGGCUGGUAGUGCCAUUUUAUCCCUUGGGAAAGGAAAACCCCCAGGGAUGAAGUUCCACACCAGGCCUAGGUAGGAGAGUGAGCAGUGGUGCAUAGUCUGAAUGACUGUCUACAAAAGGGGAGAAUCAAUUCCCUAUCUAUCACUGUCUCGGGCCAACGACAACAGCAAUAGCAGAUGUAACAACAACCACAGUAGCGAUGAGACAGCACGGUCGUGCUCGACAAAGGGAAGCUCCGGCAAAAGGCCACAACACAACCUACAGGAGCUCUGCCGAAUGGGCUUGAGGUCGUGAGCCCCAAACAUAAUGUUCAAGGAUAGAGGAAGAUGAUAAGAAGAAAUGGGCAAAUGAGCCAAUGAAGGUACUUGGAUAGAAAAAACAAUGCCAAAGCACCCCCAUUUAUAGGGGGUGAUGACACGGUCAUCGAGGCUUUGGAAGAUUGACCAGCGGACGCAAUUACUGCGUUUGAAGAAUCGAAUUGACGACGAAGCAUCCAUCUUGGAGAAUGGGAAUCGACAAUGCAUUGAAUGAUGUCAAAUAUACAAGUCCAUGGGACACCCCGGUUGCCGCAAAAGCUCGUGCCACAGGUUGCAUCAUUGGUAUGACGUCACUGUAAGAAGCUCGUGGAGUCAAGUGUCAGAAUCAUUUCCCAUCACUUCAUUCUAGGAAACGCAACUAUCUGUACGCGGUGAAAUCGGAGGACUUAAUUUCUCGCUAUAAAGCCACUUCGAAAGAAUACCUCGAGGCCCCGAGGACGUGGAGUUGUGAUCGAGUCCCCUCCCUCGAGGCUCAUCGAAGCCCGACUCAAAGAAGACAAAGGUCGAGGCUAGAGAAGAAGGGGAAGUUCCCAAGGCACACGGCUAAGUCUGACAAAGCCGGCCUAUCCAGAGUCUAUGCUGAAGCGUCACAUCCAGUCAUCCCAUCUCCAUACUUUACAAUUAAUGCAUGGUGUACUAUAACCAGGUUCCCCUCCUAUAUAAAGGGAACCCAGACUACUUUGUAAAGGGCUGAUGUUGCUCCAACUAUUCUCCAACAAGAUCAAUAACAUCUCUGUCUUUUUCUUCUCUCUAACUUGCUCGUUCCUACUAGCUCGAGGCCACCCUUAGCAUUUAUUUCUUUCAUACUUGUUCUUCAUUCAUUGCCUGGUAUUGGCCAUAAAGAGCCUAGUUUGAUCAUAUCUUAACUGUUAUCCCAUCCCCGAUAGCUCGAGAUCGAGUCGGAUACAGGCCCCGAGGCUCCUUCAUCGACUAGUCCGAGGCUCGGGCGGCAAGCCCCUGGGUUUGAUUACUUCCCCAUUUUAUCUUGGAUCUCUUCAUUAAACUUCCUACUCUUAGCAUCAACUGCUCUAACAACUAGCAUAAAAAUAGAUCACGUAUUUUUAGAAUCCCAUUUACAAAUUUAAUUGUUGUUACCAUUUUCACGGUAAACACUCGCUCUGGAUCAUUCCAACCGUCCCGAGCCUUAACCGCUCAUCGUAGCCGCUUCCACAUCUCGUGUCCGUUCUUACAAUAAUUACAUCGGCAUACUCCGUAGGCGAAUCCAGAACUACACAUGGCCUGAUUUCUGUAAAACCAGUGAUAUGUAGGCAACUCAAAAACCGGAGCUCGGCCUCUGUCUUUCAAAGCAUCCCAUCCGGUCAAAAUUGGCCAUCAUUUCUUUACCCGAAAACUCUUUCAUCCUUCCCGGGUAAAGAGGGGCAGCUGUUGAUACCCAAUUUUUUUCUAUAUAUUUUAAAUAUGAAUAAAUACCUUAAAAAUAGAAUAUAUAUGCAUAUAUAAGCAUGCACAAGGUUUUUAUAAUUUUUUCAUAAUUUUAAGUGUUUAAAUUGAUUUNNNNNNNNNNNNNNNNNNNNNNNNNNNNNNNNNNNNNNNNNNNNNNNNNNNNNNNNNNNNNNNNNNNNNNNNNNNNNNNNNNNNNNNNNNNNNNNNNNNNNNNNNNNNNNNNNNNNNNNNNNNNNNNNNNNNNNNNNNNNNNNNNNNNNNNNNNNNNNNNNNNNNNNNNNNNNNNNNNNNNNNNNNNNNNNNNNNNNNNNNNNNNNNNNNNNNNNNNNNNNNNNNNNNNNNNNNNNNNNNNNNNNNNNNNNNNNNNNNNNNNNNNNNNNNNNNNNNNNNNNNNNNNNNNNNNNNNNNNNCCUUUUAUUCAUAAAAUCCCCAAUAAUUAUUUCUAAAAUUAUUUUUAUAAUAAUUUAUUUAUUUGAUUUCUAUACUUAUGCCAAAAUAUGGCUAAUAUAAUUUUAUGCAUUUUUGUAAUUACAUUUAGUAUUUUUAAGCUAAAUUGCAUAUAAUUGCAAUGUUAGCCCAUUUUAAGGUAUAAUUAUAUUUUAUAUGCGUAAAAUUGGUCCCUAUAUUUUUAAAAUGAUAAUUAUGUAUUUUAAAUCAUUUUGUAACAUUAAAUUAUUUUCCAAAAAUUACAUAUUAUUUAUUAUAAAUUAAAGUAGGGAAAAUUGGCUAUUUAAUUUAUAGCCAGAUUUGGCUUUCGAUUUUAGCCAAAUAGAACCCACUUCUUAGCCCAAUUUCCUACCCAAUUAACCCGACCCAGACCCUAUAAACUCCUACCCAAACCCGGAACCCAUUUACCCGGUUAAAUCCUGACCAUUGAUCUCCUAGAUCAAUGGUCCAAAUGACCCCUUUCCUUUUUAAUUCCAAAUGACCCCUUACCCUAUCUCAUUUCAGUUACUCCGCCUCCCUCAAACUCUCUCAUCUCCUUUCUUCUCUCUCAACCCAACCCUAAUCCCUUUCAAUCGUCGCCUCAUUCUCCGGUCAUCUUCAGCGACUGCCUUUCAACCCCAAGCCUCCAAUGGGUCCUCCACCGCCGUGCUCGUCAUAUCUGAGGCCUUCAAGGGUCAUGACCCAUGCUGAUUUGGAUCUAUGAUUUCUGUUUCUGUUGUUCAUGGAUUCUCUAGUGUGAUUUUGGGCAAAAUCACACCAUAUACGUUACGAUCUGUGAAGUUUACAACAGGUUCUUUCGUUUCUAUUUGGGUUUCCUUUGAAAGCCUAACUCUCAUUUGAAUUUCUUAAAUUUGUGCUAUUUUUAACACUUUAAGUCUGUUUCUUCCUAUGUUUUGCACUAUUCUCUAACUUCUUCUGAAAGAUCCUCAACUUUAAACCGUUUUACUUUCUUUAAAAUUAGGGUUUCUCGGAGUUUCUUCUACACUUGUUUAACCGAUUUUUUCUUUAUGUUUAAACCUCUUUCCUCGCAUAUCUUGACUAAUUUCAUGUUCUUAAUUUUUUUCGACUUGACUCUGUUAAAAGCCCUAAUUUCUUAGAUCUUCUUUGCUUUGUUCUGUGUGUUAGCAUAACUACUUAAUUUUUUUAAAGUUUCUGUUGGUUACCAUGCUUCGAAUGGGUUUUCUACUGAGUCUUUAGCUUAUUUGUAUCACCUCCGUGUGAUUGUUAUUCAUCUUGAUUUGUUCAUCUCUUGCUUCUUUCUAUCGAUAUGGCUGACCUUACAUGUUUGCUACGUCUGUUUGUUCUUCUCUAUUUAUAUAUUGCAAUAUAGAAUCAUGACCCUCUCUUGAUUUGAUUCUGAUUUCCUUAUUUGGUGGUUCGAUUGAAAGGUUUUCUUUUAAAACCCUAAAAUUCUACUCGUCUGUUUAAAUUGAUUGAUUUCAUUGCCUUAUCUGCUAUGGUACUUUAUUUUACUGAAUCAUUCCUUAAUUGGGGUUUUUCUAAACCUAGUCCUGAAUUGACGACCCUAUGCUUACUGAACCUUGAUUCUUUCCUUAUUAGUCCUGUACUGGUUUUCUUUUUCUUGCCUUAUAUGCUAUUGUUUCUUACCAUUUGAAUUAACUCCCUUAACUUAAGGGAAUUCUUCCUUGAUUUUCUAAUUGAUUGAUUCUGAGUUUCUCAAUUAUUAUUCUACUAUGAUUCUUACCUUAUUUUACUCCCUAUUUUUCAACUAUAAAUACUCUAAGUCUUUCAUUAACACAGACACGAACACUUGGGUUCAAAAACUACCUCUCUUACUAACUCUCUCUUUCUUGUACUAUUUGCUACUGUUAGCCGGCUGUAAGCCAAGGAUAAUCAUUUGUGUUCUCUUGUUCUCUCAUUCUGUUUACUUUUCUCUUUAUGGGUAUGUCAUAGUUUUAAUUCAAAGUUCUAACAACAACAUGUUUCUCUUAUUGUUUCAGUUUUUCUUAUUUCUAGUUUGCUUCUACUUGUGGUUCUGUUGUGAAACUUAUAGUUAAGUUACAUUAUCAGCAUAUUAUUGUCUUUCCCCUUCCUUUAGAUUGGUACACUCCCCUUAUGAGCAUGCCUUACCAUUUACAUUUUACUUGUUGUGUACUUACCAUUCUAUAUCCUAUGAAUCCCCAAAUCCCUAUCACCCCUCUAUAUGUUUGUGUUCUUCCUGACUGGUUUGUGACUAUGCCAGUGUCAACUGUUUCUGAGCAUGUCUAAACCAGUCUUAAGACCCUCGUUGGGUUAUGUGUUUGCAGCGAAAUGUCUAUAUGUCCCAAACCCCUUGACCCAUGUAUGACUACUGAAUUCAUUUGGAUUCUGUAAACUAGCUGUGUGUGAUCUUAUCUUAAGGUGUUUGAGCUUUGUUUACUACUCCAACCUCUUUUUCAAACAAUCUCUCUUGUUUUACUAAUUACUUUCAAAACAAACUUUCUAAUACAGUCUUUAACAAACUCUUUUCAACUUGUGUCCGGCACUUUCACUUUACUCUUAGUCAAUAAUUCUGCCCCCUCUAGUAUGUGUACUGCCUUGGGAUCCUCUUGAGAGCCCUCUGAACUCUGGCAUACUGAGGCUGGCCUUUCCAUACUGCACUAGUUCAAUUCUUGGUUUCUAAGUCUAGGUGUAAGCAUUGCUCGGGGUCCUUGAGACCCUUAGGGAACUUUGAUGCACCUAGACUCUGAUUUGUCUAUGGAAUUGAGGCUUAUAAGACCAUUGAAGGCUUUGGGAAACUUGCGCCUAAUUGCACGCUCCCUAUAGAAUAGCUUCUUGAUUUUCUAUUUUACUUAUGUAAUUCAUUCAUUGGCCUAUAAUAAUUUGUGAACAGAUAUUUGGGGUAUUUAGUAAAAAAGGGUGGGUAGAUGCAUACUUUAAAGGGUAAUACGGGUAGAAAUCCUUCUCUUAGGACCUUAUUUUUAAAGUCUAAUUGUUUGCCUAAAUAGAAAAUAUGCUCAUAGGUUUGCUCUUUUGAAUCUGAUUACUUUGCCUAAAUAGAAAUCAUGCCAAUAGGGUUUCACUUUUAAGUUUGGUUGCAUCAGGUAGAAAUCAUGUUCAUAAGGUUCUGCAUUUUGUCACGUUAGAAACCAUGUUUAUAGGUUCCAAACAAUCAUGUCUUAAAUCAAUUUAAUAAUAGAUAUCGUGCCUAUAGGACUCAACUCCGAUUCAGUUGUAAUAAGUUUUUCUGUAUGUUGCUUAAAAUAAGUAAUACACCUAGAUAUCAUGCCUAUAGGGAUCUCUACUUGCAAUUCUGUUUGAUAAUUUAAUUUAGCCUAAUAAAUCAGCUUCAUUACACCUAGUUCAUUUUUAAAACUGGUCUUAUUAAGUGUUAAACAUUUUCUGAAACAAGUUCUUUCAAAAUUGCCUCAAUCUCAUUAGAUAUCAUGCAUAUAGGUAUUAAAGGUGUCUAUUUCAAAAACCUGUUUGUUUUUGCAUUAACAUAGACACCAAUAUUCUGCAUAUAGGCAAGCCUUAGGGCAUUUUCAAAAAACUACAUUUCCCUGAAGUUGUCUCUGAAGCUUAACAUUUCUGAUUCUAACAGGCUUUUAAAAAAAAGAGUCCCUAUGCGAUUAUAACUUCUGAGUAUAAAAGGUUUUGUCUGUUUCUGCAUAUUCACUUAGAUAUCCCGCUUUAGGACAUUGAUUAAUAAGACCUUAACUGUGUUUGAGUCGUGCUGCUUUGUAUGUUUAUUUGAGAAGGAACUUUGAGCCUCUUAAUUGCUCCCAUUAUGUGUGAAAGUCCUAAAUAUUUUGACUGUCACCUUAAAGUUUUCGCCUUUCUAAACCUUAGGGGUACGUCUAGAACUACCUAUAGGUAGAGGUCCUAACUCCCUCCGGGACCAUUAAGAAGGGACGGGUAGCAGCACGCAAUAGGAAUCAUUGACCAAACACUCGCUUUGCAUGACCAAUAAGGGGAUGGGAAGGGUAGAUAUGGGAUAUGAUGACUACGUGUAAAUAUCACGUGUAGCCCCUCAUUGAGGAGUGUUUAUCGGACAUUGCGUGGGGUGAUCCUAUAGUAUAAACAACCUAGGACCCCUCUUUACCAAAACCUCUCUCUUUAUUUAAACUUGUUCAAACCUUUAUCUUGUCACUCGAGUUAUCUAACGUGCUUUACUUGAAACUUAUUUGAUUCAACUAUUUAUAUGGACUAAUUUGUAAAUAUAAGUUCGGUCGGGACCCACAAUUGUGGACCAAGAGGGGUGCCUAACACCUUUCCCUCGAGGUUACCCCGAGCCCUUACCCUAAUCUCUGGUAAUGCAAACCAACCCAAGAGUUAAUCACUCUAGGUGCCCUAACGCAUCAUAAUCUGUUAGGCGGCGACUCUUCAAAUACCCAAUUCCCAAAAGGAAAUGAGUUAUUACACCCCGUGAAUGUCGAAACUCGGACCUCUUCCCCCAUCAAAAAGGGGAGGGAAAAAGGGGGCGUGACAGUUAGGCAGUACAUCAACAAUCUCACAGCUCAUUAAUGCUUAAAAUAGUGCAACUAAGGAGAUUCGAAGGUUGAAGACUAGGAAUGCUAUCCUGGAAGGUCAGCAGGCCCAAGAGGCUCUGGAGUCAAAUGAGGAAGUGGCUCGUUUGACAAAAGAAAAUGUUGAUCUCAGGGCACAAGUGGAGAACCUAAAAGUAGAACUACUCAAUGAGCAAAAGUCGGCCAAUGCCCGAAUAGACCUAGUUCUCCAAACUCUUGUUGCAACUUCAAAGCCCUCUACUCCUAGUGCCCCUAAGUAACCCCUUCAGUGACCAGUUUCUGGAUUAUCUCUUUUAGUUUUUUAUGACUUGGCAGAUAUUUUUUUGUUUCUUUUGUUUUGAUGUGGUUGGGAUGUAUCAGUACUGCUCCCGUUUUCAACAAUCCAAUUCUGCCUUUGCUUUUUAACCAAAGGCAUAUGUUUUAUAUAUAAAAUCUAUCCUAUUUUAUUAUCUCAUUGCUUGUAUUCUCCGUUUCUCUUCGCUAUCAUAUUGUGUGCACAUAUGUGGCAUGUAUAGCUAGGCUAGACUUUUUUAUGUUGUUUGUCUGCUUGUGUAUUUUUAAUGAUGCCAAAAGGGGGAAGUAUAAUUGAAACAUGGAUCUGAUUAAGGGGGAAGCAUAAAAUCAGGGGGAACUUGUGAAGUUCCUGUUACUUCAUCUGGUUAUCUUUGCUCUAAAUACAUGUUAUCAAUGUCUAAGUUUAUCAUCAACAAAAAGGGGGAAAUUGAUGGAUUUUCAAUGUCUUUACCUUACAUUUUGAUGAUCUAACAAACUUACAUUCAAGAACAAGAUAGGGAACCUGACACACUUGGUACACAUUACAAAUGAACGGGUUCCAGCCUAGACUUCAGCUAAUGUGAACUGUUGAAAGUGUAGAAAAUAUAAAAACAAGACAAGGACCUGAUCCCUUGUGUUUCCCUGACAGCAGUACGAAAGUUAACUGUGUAUAGCUAGAAAGUGACUGCCACAGAAACAGUGCACACAGUGCAGCAAAUUUGCAGUCACUUACCUUUGACCUACCAAAUGCUUACAUCAUUCAAGUGAUGUCAUCAAGGGUGUAUUAACAAGAGCAUUAUAAUAAAACAUCACUUGAACACUUGAGAAAUCACUUUAAGCAUUCAAGUCUUCUGCAAACAGUGAACUUAAUUCUCAACAACUUGAAGAAUAAAGUUAAAACGCUAUAAAUAUGUGAUUUUUGACCCUCCCCAAGAAUUUUUAUAUUUUAGCAUGUAAAUGUCUAGUUUAGGCUUAAUAUCGCUAUUUCAAUUAGCUUUGACUCUUUUACUUUAUUUUAUCAAAAAAAUAAAAAUUAUAAAAAUAUUUCUUCUUUUUUUAUUUGCUUUUAGUUUAUUACUUUUCGUAAAACUAAAAAAUACAAAAAAUAAUACCUUAUUUUUAUUUUAAUAUGAUAUUUGAAAAUACCAAAAAAAUAGGUUUGUUUUAACGAUUAGUCUUAUUUAAUAGUUAUUUUACUUAAGUAGGAUUAAUUGGUAAAUAAGGUCGUAUUUUUAGUCUCGUUCGCGGAGAAAGAAUAAAAUUUGGGUCCAAACAACCCAUUUUCAGCCUAGUUUUCGGACCUAGCCCAUAAUUCCUAGGCACAUACCCCCUAACCUAAAAAACCCUAUAAAACAAACAAGACCCUAGACUCUAAGACCUAGACCCCUAGAGCUAACAGCCAUUUUACACAUGGACAGACCCCCCCCCCAUGACACCCAUCGUCUUCCUCACGAAAAAAACCCUAGAGGACCCUUACAGGCACAAACCAGUCGUAGCAGCCUAAACCUAAGGACAGACCUCCCCCCCCCCCCGGCCGAUCGUCCUCUUCAACAACGAGAACACAAAACGGCCCUCCGUUCUUCAUCUCCUUCAGGGACACAUAGAGACCUCAACUUCCAUGGCUGCUCCUUAACCAAAACGAGACCCAAAACCUCAGAAGACCACCCUCCCAACGCUAACUCCUUCUUCUUCUAACAACCGGAAUCAGCGACCAUUUCUACCACAGCUAGAGCUUAUUACAUGAGACAUCCUUGUACCCUUACUUGUUGUAUUUCACCUCUGUAUCGAAGAGGUAUCAGAUGCUGGCCGUUUUAGUUUAAAACUACCAAGUCUCUGCCAAAGCUGGUCGAAUGGGUGAAGUCCGGCGAGAGAUCUGGCGAGUUUCGAGGUCUGGUCGUAGUUCUGUUGAGGUUUCCGGUGAAGCUCUGGUCCUACAGUUCAAGGAUGUCAUCUGUCAGUGUUUUCAGGAAUUGUGCGAUUGUAAAUGUUCGAUCUUCUUUCAGAUUAUAUGUAAGUUCUUGGAUUCUUAAUUCGUUGUUUUGGUCGGAAUUGUUUACAUGUUUUGAUUAGUUAUUUCAUUACUACUUCUUUUUCGGUUUUGUUUAGCGAGUUCUUUCAUGAGAUACAUGUUUUAUGGUGCUAUUUGGUUCAUUUUAAUCCGUUGGUAUUUAGUUUGGUUCACUAAUAUGAAUAUCAGGUGAUAGAUUAAUGAAAUAAAUUGCAUAUCUUUGGGUGAAGUUAUUGGAGUCACUAUUUGAUCUACUAGUUGAGACUUUACUUCGCACCAAUUUAGUGAUUUCGAAGGGAUUUAGAUGGGAUAAAAAAGGUCAUGGCUUUAGAUGAAGGUAAUUGGGUUGUAUGGGUCCAAACAGACUUUAGUUUUAUUCGAUUAGGCGCCGGG
rnacentral:lncRNA from 1 species